CACGUAGGGCGCAAGCGUUGUCCGGAAUUAUUGGGCGUAAAGCGCGCGUAGGCGGCCUCAUAAGUCCGUUGUGAAAGUCAAAGGCUCAACCUUUGAAAGCCGAUGGAUACUGUGAGGCUAGAGUCCGGAAGAGGCGAGUGGAAUUCCUGGUGUAGCGGUGGAAUGCGCAGAUAUCAGGAGGAACACCAAUAGCGAAGGCAGCUCGCUGGGACGGUACUGACGCUAAGGCGCGAAAGCGUGGGGAGCGAACAGG
rnacentral:rRNA from 1 species